GACGAACGCUGGCGGCGUGCUUAACACAUGCAAGUCGAACGGAAAGGCCCUGCUUUUGUGGGGUGCUCGGGUGGCGAACGGGUGAGUAACACGUGAGUAACCUGCCCUUGACUUUGGGGUAACUUCAGGAAACUGGGGCUAAUACCGGAUAGGAGCUCCUGCUGCAUGGUGGGGGUUGGAAAGUUUCGGCGGUUGGGGAUGGACUCGCGGCUUAUCAGCUUGUUGGUGGGGUAGUGGCUUACCAAGGCUUUGACGGGUAGCCGGCCUGAGAGGGUGACCGGCCACAUUGGGACUGAGAUACGGCCCAGACUCCUACGGGAGGCAGCAGUGGGGAAUAUUGCACAAUGGGCGGAAGCCUGAUGCAGCGACGCCGCGUGCGGGAUGACGGCCUUCGGGUUGUAAACCGCUUUCGCCUGUGACGAAGCGUGAGUGACGGUAAUGGGUAAAGAAGCACCGGCUAACUACGUG
rnacentral:rRNA from 1 species